rnacentral:rRNA from 1 species
GACGAACGCUGGCGGCGUGCUUAACACAUGCAAGUCGAACGGUGAAGCGCCUUCCUUUUUGGUGGGUGUGGAUGAGUGGCGAACGGGUGAGUAACACGUGAGUAACCUGCCCCCUUCUUCUGGAUAACCGCAUGAAAGUGUGGCUAAUACGGGAUAUUCUGGGUCUGUCGCAUGAUGGGUCUGGGAAAGAUAUUGUUUCGGUGGGGGAUGGGCUCGCGCCUAUCAGCUUGUUGGUGGGGUGAUGGCCUACCGAGGCGGUGACGGGUAGCCGGCCUGAGAGGGUGGACGGUCACACUGGGACUGAGACACGGCCCAGACUCCUACGGGAGGCAGCAGUGGGGAAUAUUGCACAAUGGGCGCAAGCCUGAUGCAGCGACGCCGCGUGAGGGAUGGAGGCCUUCGGGUUGUGAACCUCUUUCGCCAGUGAAGCAGGCCUGCCUCGUUUGUGGGUGGGUUGACGGUAGCUGGAUAAGAAGCGCCGGCUAACUACGUG